rnacentral:rRNA from 1 species
UACAGAGGUCUCAAGCGUUGUUCGGAUUCAUUGGGCGUAAAGGGUGCGUAGGCGGCGCGGUAAGUCGGGUGUGAAUUUCGAGGCUUAACUUCGAAACUGCAUUCGAUACUGCCGUGCUUGAGGACUGGAGAGGAGACUGGAAUUUACGGUGUAGCGGUGAAAUGCGUAGAUAUCGUAAGGAAGACCGUGGCGAAGGCGGGUC